GCCAGUGUGAUAUAGUGGUUUGAGCAUUGGACUAUGCCUCUGGAGACCAGGGUUCAAAUCCCCUCUCAGGCA
rnacentral:tRNA from 1 species